rnacentral:rRNA from 1 species
AGAAGUAAAAGUCGUAACAAGGUUUCCGUAGGUGAACCUGCGGAAGGAUCAUUAUUGAAUAAACUUGGUUAGGUUGUUGCUGGCUCUUAGGAGUAUGUGCACGCUGAAUCCAUCUUUAACCACCUGUGCACCUUGCGUAGAUCUGAAAAAUUUCGAGGAUUCUCGGCUUGGGAAUUGCUGUGCGUGAGCCAGCUGUUCUUGUAUUCAGGUCUAUGUUCUUACAUACCCCAUAUGAAUGUAUAUGAAUGUUGCAAUUGGCCUUGUGCCUUUAAAACAAAUACAACUUUCAACAACGGAUCUCUUGGCUCUCGCAUCGAUGAAGAACGCAGCGAAAUGCGAUAAGUAAUGUGAAUUGCAGAAUUCAGUGAAUCAUCGAAUCUUUGAACGCACCUUGCGCUCCUUGGUAUUCCGAGGAGCAUGCCUGUUUGAGUGUCAUGAAAUUCUCAACCUCUCUGGUUUUCUGACUAGUUAGGCUUGGAUCAUGGAAGUUGUUGGCUCAAUUUGAAUCAACUCUUCUUAAAUAUAUUAGCAAAGGCUUUUGCUGACCAUCAUUGGUAUGAUAAUUAUCUAUAUCAUUGGUAACCAGUUCCCUUCACAGGGGGGGUCUUGCUUCUAAUCGUCGUUUCGACAACUUGACAACUUUGACCUCAAAUCAGGUAGGACUACCCGCUGAACUUAAGCAUAUCAUA